rnacentral:rRNA from 1 species
UACGUAGGGGGCAAGCGUUGUCCGGAAUCAUUGGGCGUAAAGAGCGUGUAGGCGGCCAGAUAAGUCCGCUGUGAAAUCUCGAGGCUCAACUUCGAGCUGUCGGUGGAAACUGUCUGGCUAGAGUCCGGAAGAGGAGAAUGGAAUUCCUGGUGUAGCGGUGAAAUGCGCAGAUAUCAUGAGGAAUACCAGAGGCGAAGGCGGCUACCUGGACAAUUGCUGACGCUCAGGCACGAAAGCGUGGGGAGCAAAAGGG